AUUAAAUUGAAAUUAUUCAAAAUAAAAAAUCCAAAUUAAUGCUUCUCUUGGAUUUCCAUAUUACAAUAUUUGUAUUUUCGGUAUUCUAAGAAACAACCAAAAAGGAAAGAACCUGAAGCGGUCCGGAUCUAUAUCAAUUUUCGCUACAUCACUAUUUUCUGGAAUAUGAAGUUUUGUUUUAAAUCUGAGCCAUUUAUUAUUAUGGAUCGGUCGCUCUCCCAUAACAAACAUCAUCGAAUUGGAUGGAUCCACG
rnacentral:misc_RNA from 1 species